rnacentral:lncRNA from 1 species
UUGGGUAUGGAUUACACAAGACAUUUAACUGAGGAAAUCAAAACAUUGACACUACUCUGCAGUCUGGAAUAUAGACAUAUAACUCCUAAAUUAGGAUAGAAUUACCAAACCUUUGGCAAUACAACUUCUUACUUUCAAGCUUAGCACACUUAUCGAAUAUCCCUUAACUAUAUGAGCAUUGAAAAUUUUUUUCUACUAAUGUAUAAAAUAGCUUAAUC